UUUGACACAACAUGUAUCGUGUCAACGCAGCUUUACAGUGUUGAACAGGAAAAUAAUGUUGCAAUGUUGCAAACAAAAUUCAAUUCUGCUGUAAAGCAGCUCUAAAA